rnacentral:rRNA from 1 species
GUCUCUUUGAUGUAAAAUAAUAAGGAGUUGGGCCUGCUCGGUGAUUUUUUAACAGCUGCGGUAUUAUAACUGUACUAAGGUAGCAUAAUAAUUUGCCUUAUAAAUUAGGGCUGGAAUGAAUGGUUUGACGAAAAUUAUACUGUCUCUAUUUUAAUUGUUAGAAAUUAAUUUUUAUAGUGAAAAAGCUUGAAUAAUUUAAGGGGACGAGAAGACCCUAUUGAGCUUUGUUAAAUAUAAAUAAUUAUAUAAUAGGUAUURUUUUUAGUUUUGGUUGGGGUGAUCAAGGAAUAAUAUUUAUUAAAUAUAAUUUCCUUAUUUUUUUAUUUUGGUUAAAAAAAUAAACCAAUAGUAUUGCUUUAAUGAUAAGUUACCAUAGGGAUAACAGCGUAAUUUUUUUAGAGAGUUCUUAUUARAAAAAAAGAUUGCGACCUCGAUGUUGGAUUAAAAUAACCAUUAGGUGUAGAAGCUUUAUAUGGUGAAUCUGUUCGAUUUUUAAAAUUUUAC